rnacentral:rRNA from 1 species
AGUGAACGCUGGCGGUAGACCUAACACAUGCAAGUCGAACGGCAGCACAGUAAGAGCUUGCUCUUACGGGUGGCGAGUGGCGGACGGGUGAGGAAUACAUCGGAAUCUACUUUUUCGUGGGGGAUAACGUAGGGAAACUUACGCUAAUACCGCAUACGACCUACGGGUGAAAGCAGGGGAUCUUCGGACCUUGCGCGAUUGAAUGAGCCGAUGUCGGAUUAGCUAGUUGGCGGGGUAAAGGCCCACCAAGGCGACGAUCCGUAGCUGGUCUGAGAGGAUGAUCAGCCACACUGGAACUGAGACACGGUCCAGACUCCUACGGGAGGCAGCAGUGGGGAAUAUUGGACAAUGGGCGCAAGCCUGAUCCAGCCAUACCGCGUGGGUGAAGAAGGCCUUUGGGUUGUAAAGCCCUUUUGUUGGGAAAGAAAAGCAGCAGGUUAAUACCCCGCUGUUCUGACGGUACCCAAAGAAUAAGCACCGGCUAACUUCGUG